AGUGAACGCUGGCGGUAGGCCUAACACAUGCAAGUCGAACGGCAGCACAGUAAGCGCUUGCUCUUACGGGUGGCGAGUGGCGGACGGGUGAGGAAUACAUCGGAAUCUACUUUUUCGUGGGGGAUAACGUAGGGAAACUUACGCUAAUACCGCAUACGACCUACGGGUGAAAGCAGGGGAUCUUCGGACCUUGCGCGAUUGAAUUAGCCGAUGUCGGAUUAGCUAGUUGGCGGGGUAAAGGCCCACCAAGGCGACGAUCCGUAGCUGGUCUGAGAGGAUGAUCAGCCACACUGGAACUGAGACACGGUCCAGACUCCUACGGGAGGCAGCAGUGGGGAAUAUUGGACAAUGGGCGAAAGCCUGAUGCAGCCAUACCGCGUGGGUGAAGAAGGCCUUCGGGUUGUAAAGCCCUUUUGUUGGGAAAGAAAAGAUGCAGGUUAAUCCACCGAUGUUCUGACGGUACCCAAAGAAUAAGCAACGGCUAACUUCGUG
rnacentral:rRNA from 1 species